AGUAAUGUCAGCUAAUAAUUAAGCUAUUAGGCCCAUACCCUACUCAUGAUGGUGAAAGUCCCUCCUUUACUA
rnacentral:tRNA from 1 species